CCAAAUGCAAAUAAACUUUGCAACCAAAUCAAAACUUUGACCGUUUCUAAAGCAACAUUGUAAAGAGAAUUCAGAGGUUGGUAGUUUGUACUGCAAAAGUUUCCUAUUAGUUAAAUGGCAGUGAGAACACUGCAAUUCUUUUCCCGUAUCUGAAUAACAUUGUUUAAUCGAAACCGAUGGUUUGUGUUUAGUAAUAUCAAAUAACAUUUACAUAAACAAUAUAUUAAACAUCCUCAUGAAAAUGGCAUCUCAAAGAAUACCAAAAAGCAUCACCUGUGUCUGUCCAGAGUUUCAAAAGAUUUAAAGAGCAGUAUUCUUUAACUUUUAUUUAAAAGAAAGCUAAUCCAGAACCUUAAAAUUUCUUACUCAUUUAGAAGCAUUAAGUGUUAAUGUUUAACAUGCUUUCUUCAUUGAGACGUUUGGAGCCCCAGAACUAUCUCAGCAUUGGACUACCACUGAGCUGAAUCUGAGGCUAAGCCCAGAAGAGCCAGGCACCUGUACUCUUCAGCAGUUUGGGGGAGCUCCAUACUAUCUCUCAGAGAGGCUACGGCACCACCUACACCAUCAGACCAGGCAGCCGCUACCCAGUGACCCGACGGACACCCAGUCCCGGUUCCCCGGACCGCUCGGAUCCUCUGGGACCCAUCCGGGGCUUCGGCCUGGCCACUUCUCCCAUCACACCCCCCACCAUCCUUAAGUCAUCUAGCCUCAGUCUCCCUCACGAAC
rnacentral:lncRNA from 1 species